UAUUUAUAGGAGAUAAUUUCAGCUAUGAAUAGUUUAAGUGUGUUGCCUGAGAGAUCACACAUCUAGAAUUGGAUUUUUAAAAAGGAGGACAGGGGGUUGGCAGGCAUAGUAUUAUGAAUAUAAUACUAGGCUAUUUGUUUGUCAUAUGGUCUAUGGAACGAGCUAAAAUGAAUCAGACAUUUUCACACCAGGACCAAUAUUGUCCAUCCCAAAAGAUGAACUGUCCAGGAAGAGACAGACCCGAGUGCUGGGAAACCAGACAAUCAGCAGCUCGGGAGGAAUGCUGCCGGUGUGCACAAGCACUCGGAGGACAAGCACGAGGAGAGGAAGAAUGAGAAGGGAUGUAUUUAAUGAGCAGCUGAGGGGCUCGUAGCAAAUCCUACGCGCCGCUGUGUGUUCGGUUACGCUCCUCUUGUAAGGACCGAGGCGAGUAAACAAGACGACAGGAUGGAUCAACGGCACUUGUGCUUCAUAGCUUGUGUAAUUAACACCAUUCCCAGAAUGGAGGGUACGGUGACUUAGAUAUGCCGUUAGAAUGCUACUGAUAGAAUAGUACAGGAAAUCAAACGUAUUAUUCAUAUUUAAAAUGAAUGAAAUGUAGUUGUUGCCCGUUGUUAGGAAAGAACUUGUUCACAUCAGAAGUGUACAGAUCUCUGAGAGGUGGAACACCUUUAAUCAUUCCAACAAAGCCUGUCUUGUUCCUGCUGAGCAUGUGUCAGGUUCACUUGGGAAGAGGAUGAAAGGCAUCCCAUAAUUCUCAGCACAACUGGAAAACAAGAAGAAGAGACACCACAGCAAACGAGGACGUCAAAGAGCGGUAGUAAUGCAGGAGUGGAAUCAAGAAUAUCUGCUCACGUUGUAGACGACAUUCAGCAAGGUCAUUGGCUGACAUUUGCCACAACACGGCCGCAGGAUCCUGUCUUCCUGGGACUUUUAUUACUUUUCAUUUAAGAAUUUCCCUCUAUGCAGUCUGUUAGCCUUCUGUUUUUUUUUUGUUUUAAUUUUACAUUAAAAAAAAAAAAUUGUAUCUUCACUGGGGUGGCACAGUGGUUGGUACUCCGCUUUCGUCCCACAGUCCAAAGACAUGCAGGUAGGCUAACUGGAGACUCUAAAUUGCCCAUAGGUAUGAGCGUGUGACUAAAUGGUGUGUGUGCCCUGAGAGAGAUUGGCGACGUGUCCCGGGUGUAUUCCUGCCUCUGGCCCAAUCCACACCCGCUCUGGUACCCCCCGCAACACUGGCCAGGAUAAGCGGAUUAGAUAAUGGAUGGAACCUGCCCAGGAUAAGCGGGUUAAAUAAUGGACGGAUGGAUGCAGCUACACCAAGUUGCCUCCUCUCUUCCUUACACUACUCCAGUCCAGUAAUGCACACCACUAGCAAAUAUAUACUUUGUUAUGAUCCUCUUAUAAAUCUAGACAUCAUGUUGUUUUUUUCUUCUACAAUGGUGACAUGCUUUGAGUGAGAAACUGCAGUGUGUUUUUUUUUCUUUUUUUUUUCUCAAUGAUAUUCUUGAUUCUGCUUUUAUUUAGACUCAGUGUUUUUGUGUGUCUGACAAGAAGGUUUGAGGGGUCACAAGCACCAUGUGAUUAUGAAUACAAACUCCAUGCUGAGAGUUACACCCUAGCUACCAUUCCUGCUCCCUGUAUUAUUUUGGGAGAGUCCAGGGGUGCGUAAUCAUAUGGUACAUUGCACCGGAAGAAUAUUUGUGUUUGCAGAUGCCUGUUUCCACUUGAAUGCAUUUUCCAAAUUAGAAAUUAAACUUCCAUCAGCAGAAAAUGA